rnacentral:rRNA from 1 species
GACGUAGGGGGCGAGCGUUGUCCGGAUUUAUUGGGCGUAAAGAGCUCGUAGGCGGUUCGGCAAGUCGGGUGUGAAAUUUCGAGGCUCAACCUCGAAACGCCACUCGAUACUGCUGUGACUGGAGUCCGGUAGAGGAGUGCGGAAUUCCUGGUGUAGCGGUGAAAUGCGCAGAUAUCAGGAGGAACACCAACGGCGAAGGCAGCACUCUGGGCCGGUACUGACGCUGAGGAACGAAAGCGUGGGGAGCAAACAGG